rfam:Brassica napus, WGS project CCCW01000000 data, contig: 3332
GGAAUAUAAGAAUCCGUCUCUUAACUUUUAACUAAAAAAAACUAAGAACCGGUUCUUAAAACUCUUAUUUAAGAGCCGGUUCUUAACGUUAAAAGUUAAGAGACGGAUUUUUAUAUUCC